UCUCAACUAGACGGUGUGUCA
rnacentral:siRNA from 1 species